rnacentral:rRNA from 1 species
GACGUAGGGCGCGAGCGUUGUCCGGAUUUAUUGGGCGUAAAGAGCUCGUAGGCGGCUCGUUGCGUCGGCUGUGAAAACCCGCAGCUCAACUGUGGGCUUGCAGCUGAUACGGGCGGGCUGGAGUUCGGUAGGGGAGACUGGAAUUCCUGGUGUAGCGGUGAAAUGCGCAGAUAUCAGGAGGAACACCGGUGGCGAAGGCGGGUCUCUGGGCCGUAACUGACGCUGAGGAGCGAAAGCAUGGGGAGCGAACAGG